CAUCACCGUCGCCUUCCUCGUCUUCCAUGUCGGGGACCUGAAGAACAAACACAAGUUAAAGGGCUCUGGAUCUGGCUGCACAAUUAAUUGUCAAACAUCAAAAUCACAAUUUCCAAAUUAAGACACUGGAAUUAUUUGUGGCAAAAACAGAAUUAUGGUGAAAUUAUGUAGUGCUAUAAGAAUUCUCUGGCCCAUAUAAUGAAAUAAUGUCAAAUCAUCGAUAUUUGGAUGGAUUUCCUUACGAAAAUUACAGUUCAGUGUCAAGAAUUCCGAUCAACCCAUCAUUAAUCAACUCCUGAAUUAAUUUUGACAUUUUCGAAAAGCCAUUACAAAUCUAAAAGCUACAGUAUAAAACCGCCCCCAUAUCAGGUCACUUUUCCCCCACUGGCUGCUCCACGUUCUUGUUGAAAACCCUGCGUGCACAUAGACACACACACACGGACAGACUCACCAGGUAGUACUGCAGUGGGUUGGGCCAGAUGUCGUCCUUGAUGACUUCUCCCAGCUCAUCAGCGCCUGCGUCUGAGUGGUCGGUGAACCAGGUGAAGAAGCUCUCGGGCUCCUCGUGCUGCCGCUUCUUCCCGGCUUUGUUUGGCGUCUGACCCGUGCGCUUCGUCAGGUCCUGGAGGUAAACAAAACAAGUUUGUGGAGGUUUCGGUUUAUUUGGCUGUAUUUGUUUUUAAACUGCAGCAGAGUGAAAAGAAUGUGAACCGACCUUUCCGGCUUUCCACUUUAUUUCGCUGGAUUUGGAAACGGGAUCCCCACUCUCGUUCACGUUAAACUCUUUGGAGAGGGACUUGUUCUCGAAGUACGGGUUCUCGUCGAAAAA